GACGAACGCUGGCGGCGUGCUUAACACAUGCAAGUCGAACGGAAAGGCCUCUUUCGGGGGGUACUCGAGUGGCGAACGGGUGAGUAACACGUGAGUAACCUGCCCUUGACUUUGGGAUAACUUCAGGAAACUGGGGCUAAUACCGGAUAGGAGCUCCUGCUGCAUGGUGGGGGUUGGAAAGUUUCGGCGGUUGGGGAUGGACUCGCGGCUUAUCAGCUUGUUGGUGGGGUAGUGGCUUACCAAGGCUUUGACGGGUAGCCGGCCUGAGAGGGUGACCGGCCACAUUGGGACUGAGAUACGGCCCAGACUCCUACGGGAGGCAGCAGUGGGGAAUAUUGCACAAUGGGUGGAAGCCUGAUGCAGCAACGCCGUGUGCGGGAUGACGGCCUCGGUUGUAACCGACUUCGUCUCAUGACGAAG
rnacentral:rRNA from 1 species